rnacentral:lncRNA from 1 species
UAGAAAAAUGAGAUUUGUCAAACAGAAGCUUCCUUCCGCCUGCCACUGACAUGCCACCGACGAUGUGUGAAUAUUACGUGAGCAGCUACAACCUUCUUUUAUGGAUGAGACGAUGAGCAGCUACAAACUUGAUACUGUUAAUGGUAGUCUCAUUCUUCCAAAAAAAAUAGGAAAACAAACUCAUACAUUUCAACACAGCUCCUUCUUCACAUAAACUUCCAGUUUAAAUGAAAAUACUAUUAUUUUCGAUGAAGGGAGCUUUAUUACUUAAAAGGUUUAAGCAUUAUACCCGGCCCCUCUGCAUAAAUGAAAAUACUAAUAGCAACAAAAAAAACUUAAUAAGAAAACUCCGACAAUGUGGACCGAGAUUGACUUGGUAGUAGAUCAAAUCACACGCGUUCAAUCUUUGCUCAAUGAGAACUGAGGAACAACUUUGUAAAAAAAACUACCCUACUCCAUACUGAUCAUUGCAUGACAUCAAUAUUUCUCUUACAGAACUAAACUUAGACAGCCAUGUAAGCUCUAAACAUUGUUCUUGAUUAAACGGACAAAACAUAAAGGAAUUAGAAGUCUCACCAUCAGUAUAUAAUGUUUCCACGCAAUAUUUUUGUCCGAACAACCACAAUCAAUAUCCAUUACAUCCACACUCGCCUCAAGAGGGAGAGUAGACCCGCCUGCAAAAUAGAGACUAUAGAACAUUCACAUGAAGUGCUAAAAAAUGUAAUACCAAAAUUUAAUCUAAUGAGGAAGCAGAGCCCGUCGCCGCAUCCAUGGAUGGCCACCAGAGGAGUCUCCAACGCCGUGCGACGUCGACNNN